GAUGAACGCUGGCGGCGUGCCUAAUACAUGCAAGUCGAGCGAACAGACGAGGAGCUUGCUCCUCUGACGUUAGCGGCGGACGGGUGAGUAACACGUGGAUAACCUACCUAUAAGACUGGGAUAACUUCGGGAAACCGGAGCUAAUACCGGAUAAUAUAUUGAACCGCAUGGUUCAAUAGUGAAAGACGGUUUUGCUGUCACUUAUAGAUGGAUCCGCGCCGAAUUAGCUAGUUGGUAAGGUAACGGCUUACCAAGGCAACGAUGCGUAGCCGACCUGAGAGGGUGAUCCGCCACCGCGGAACUGAGAUUAGGUCCAGACUCCUACGGAAGGCAGCAGUAGGGAUUCUUCCGCAAUGGGCGAAAGCCUGACGGAGCAACGCCGCGUGAGUGAUGAAGGUCUUCGGAUCGUAAAACUCUGUUAUUAGGGAAGAACAAAUGUGUAAGUAACUAUGCACGUCUUGACGGUACCUAAUCAGAAAGCCACGGCUAACUACGUG
rnacentral:rRNA from 1 species